rnacentral:sRNA from 1 species
AUUUAGGUGGUGAAAAUGGCGGGCGGCUGCCAAAAGCUAGGGUAUCCCUAUUGUACGGAUAACUCCUCCUACAGUUUUCAUGGUAGGAAGUUGUUGUUUUGCAGAUCAAUUGUACAUAUAUCACCGAUGUGCAUUUUAUUUUGAGUUUGAUUUUGGAUAAUUCAUUGAAAAAAUACCAGCAGUUGAACUUCGUCAUUUUCUCGCAGAAUGUCGCAUAUAUACGGUAUCUCAUUUCUCUGGAUAUAUGCUGUAGCAAUUAGCUAUACCAAAUUGUGCUAUUAUUAACCUUGUUUACUUUCAUUCAUCUAUUUUUGCUAUCUUGGACGGAUAUUAAUUUACACCUGACGGUAGGAGAUUAUAACUGGACCUCUGAUGCUAGGUACAUUAUCAGUAUCAAUUUGGUCAUCGACUUUGUGGAACUCUAUGCUAGGACUAUCAGAGUAAUAAUUGAUUUUCCAUCCAUCUUGAGACAUUCACCUGUCAACUACUAUACGACAAAAUAUUGCCUCGGACGAUUAUAAUACCUGGACUUGGUCAGAAGAGAUCAGUCCUCAACACACCACCAGUGAGGAAGGUUCCCCUUUGAAGAGACUCCCUACUAUCUCCGUGGCCAAAAACGUCCAGACAGUUAUUUUCAUAUAUUCAUUUGAUUAAUUCUCAUUCCAAGGACAAACUCUUUACAGUGACGUUUUAAAAACUUGGACAUAUUCUUAAUAAUAUUAAUAAUAUUGACUUCGUUAUUUAUCUUGUACUUUAUUAAAAUUAGUUGAACGU